CCUACGGGGGACAGCAGUGAGGAAUAUUGGUCAAUGGACGAGAGUCUGAACCAGCCAAGUAGCGUGAAGGAUGACUGCCCUAUGGGUUGUAAACUUCUUUUAUAUGGGAAUAAAAUGUUCCACGUGUGGGAUUUUGUAUGUACCAUAUGAAUAAGGAUCGGCUAACUCCGUGCCAGCAGCCGCGGUAAUACGGAGGAUCCGAGCGUUAUCCGGAUUUAUUGGGUUUAAAGGGAGCGUAGGUGGAUUGUUAAGUCAGUUGUGAAAGUUUGCGGCUCAACCGUAAAAUUGCAGUUGAAACUGGCAGUCUGGAGUACAGUAGAGGUGGGCGGAAUUCGUGGUGUAGCGGUGAAAUGCUUAGAUAUCACGAAGAACUCCGAUUGCGAAGGCAGCUCACUGGACUGCAACUGACACUGAGGCUCGAAAGUGUGGGUAUCAAACAGGAUUAGAUACCCCAGUAGUC
rnacentral:rRNA from 1 species